rnacentral:lncRNA from 1 species
UCUCGGUUCGGUCAAAUCUUCUAAUCUAGUUGUGCGAUUGCUAGUUAUCGUAUCAGUUUCAGCUUACAGCACUUUCGUGUUUUGAGUUGAUCUGGUCGACCACUUUGGGCGAUCUAUGUUGGUUUGAUAUUCGCUGUUUGACAUAUUCAAUCUAGUACUGCCUCGGUUCGGUCCGAUCUAGUAGAUUGCGUUUAUCAGAUGGCUUAUAUCAGAUUGAUGUAUUUUGCUCAUUGUUCUAUCGGAGUACCAGCCGAUAGGUUAUCAGUCAUCGGCUCAUUGGCUUGAUAGCAAUCUAGAUCUAUUUAGUAUCUAUCCCGACAUUGCUAGGUUCAAUCUUGAACUGUCUCGGUUGGAUCCGUUCUUCUAUGAUUAUUCUUAGCAAUUUGGGCUAGGUAUUCUAUAGAUCUUGGUUGUUUAUCCGUCAUCUAUAGC